rnacentral:lncRNA from 1 species
AGAUCCCCAGACUGCCUGUGGAAGCUGGAAGAGCUUAAGCCAAAGUCCAUCAAAGUCAAUAGAUCCCCUUUCAUCCAUUUCAGAGUGUUUUGACUGAGGGCUAGAUUUCCUUCUGAAUCUCUCUAGACUGAAUUUGUCCAUGGCUAUUGUCUGUCUGCAGCUGCCAAGGCACAGAAUAUGAAAGAAACUACUUAAAACAGGGAAGACAUUGAAGUGCUAAUGUUACACAGUUCUCUUGUAUCUAAGCGUCUACCACUUUUCCUGCUAAAUUUAAAUAGAUCAGAGAGUCAUCUAGUGGCGAAAAUGUGGAAUUUUGAAUAAAUUUUCUACUGAGGACUCUGACUGCCAUCAGACCUCCUGAGGUGUAUCUCAAAUACUGAUAGAACAUGACCAUCAGAUAUCAGUGGAUUGAAUUCUCACGAGGAUAAAAUAAGAAAGGAGAUAAAAUCCAUCCUCUGCUCUCUGAAGAUUAUAAAGAAUAUUGGAAGACCCUUCAUAUUAAGGCCAACCGUAAUAGAACAGAAGAAGGGGCUUAGAGACGUUACUUACACAGGUGCUAUAAUUGUUUCUUUAUCCUCAGACUCUAACUGUCAGAUUAUGUUAUAAACACUGAAUUCAGGAACUUGGCAAUGUACAGACAAAAUUUCAAAUUAGUUCCAGAAAAUGAUUAUUUUUUCCCCCCACAGUAAUUUAAAAUAUUUUAUAGUUCUGUUUUCAGAAGAAAGCAAUAAAUGAACUACAAGCUUUCA